rnacentral:rRNA from 1 species
AGAACGAACGCUGGCGGCAGGCCUAAUACAUGCAAGUCGAACGCACUCUUCGGAGUGAGUGGCAGACGGGUGAGUAACGCGUGGGAACCUUCCCAAUGGUACGGAAUAACUCCGGGAAACCGGUGCUAAUACCGUAUAAGCCCCUCGGGGGAAAGAUUUAUCGCCAUUGGAUGGGCCCGCGUCGGAUUAGCUAGUUGGUGAGGUAAUGGCUCACCAAGGCUACGAUCCGUAGCUGGUCUGAGAGGAUGAUCAGCCACACUGGGACUGAGACACGGCCCAGACUCCUACGGGAGCAGCAGUAGGGAAUCUUGGACAAUGGGCGAAAGCCUGAUCCAGCCAUGCCGCGUGAGUGAAGAAGGCCUUAGGGUUGUAAAGCUCUUUGGCGGGACGAUAAUGACGGUACCCGCAGAAUAAGCCCGGCUAACUUCGUGCCAGCAGCCGC